GGAUCCAGACUUUGACUAUGGCUCAGGAUGAACGCUAGCGGCAGGCCUAAUACAUGCAAGCCGAGGGGUAGUGGAGCUUGCUCCAUGAGACCGGCGCACGGGUGCGUAACGCGUAUGCAACCUACCUUCAUCUGGGGGAUAGCCCGAAGAAAUUCGGAUUAACACCGCAUAAAAUCACAGAGCCGCAUGGUUCAAUGAUCAAAUAUUUAUAGGAUGGAGAUGGGCAUGCGUGUCAUUAGUUAGUUGGCGGGGUAACGGCCCACCAAGACCACGAUGACUAGGGGAUCUGAGAGGAUGACCCCCCACACUGGUACUGAGACACGGACCAGACUCCUACGGGAGGCAGCAGUAAGGAAUAUUGGUCAAUGGAGGCAACUCUGAACCAGCCAUGCCGCGUGCAGGAAGACAGCCCUCUGGGUCGUAAACUGCUUUUAUUCGGGAAUAAACCUACUUACGUGUAAGUAGCUGAAUGUACCGAAGGAAUAAGGAUCGGCUAACUCCGUGCCAGCAGCCGCGGUAAUACGGAGGAUCCAAGCGUUAUCCGGAUUUAUUGGGUUUAAAGGGUGCGUAGGCGGCCUGUUAAGUCAGGGGUGAAAGACGGUAGCUCAACUAUCGCAGUGCCCUUGAUACUGAUGGGCUUGAAUACACUAGAGGUAGGCGGAAUGUGACAAGUAGCGGUGAAAUGCAUAGAUAUGUCACAGAACACCGAUUGCGAAGGCAGCUUACUAUGGUGUUAUUGACGCUGAGGCACGAAAGCGUGGGGAUCAAACAGGAUUAGAUACCCUGGUAGUCCACGCCCUAAACGAUGAAUACUCGCUGUUAGCGAUAUACAGUUAGCGGCUAAGCGAAAGCGUUAAGUAUUCCACCUGGGGAGUACGCCCGCAAGGGUGAAACUCAAAGGAAUUGACGGGGGCCCGCACAAGCGGAGGAGCAUGUGGUUUAAUUCGAUGAUACGCGAGGAACCUUACCCGGGCUUGAAAGUUAGUGAAGUAUUCAGAGAUGGAUGCGUCCGCAAGGACACGAAACUAGGUGCUGCAUGGCUGUCGCCAGCUCGUGCCGUGAGGUGUUGGGUUAAGUCCCGCAACGAGCGCAACCC
rnacentral:rRNA from 1 species